GACAGAGGCCUCGAGCGUUAGGCGGAAUCACUGGGCUUAAAGCGUGUGUAGGCGGGCCCGUAAGUGUCUUGUGAAAUCCCACGGCUCAACCGUGGAACUGCUGGGCAUACUGCGGGUCUUGGGCCAACUAGGGGCAGCCGGAACAAGCGGUGGAGCGGUGAAAUGCGUAGAUAUUCGGAGGAACACCAGUGGCGAAGGCGGCUCACUGGUCCGGUACUGACGCUGAGGUGCGAAAGCGUGGGGAGCAAACAGG
rnacentral:rRNA from 1 species